rnacentral:rRNA from 1 species
GAUAAACGCUGGCGGCGUGCCUAAUACAUGCAAGUCGAGCGAACGGACGAGAAGCUUGCUUCUCUGAUGUUAGCGGCGGACGGGUGAGUAACACGUGGAUAACCUACCUAUAAGACUGGGAUAACUUCGGGAAACCGGAGCUAAUACCGGAUAAUAUUUUGAACCGCAUGGUUCAAAAGUGAAAGACGGUCUUGCUGUCACUUAUAGAUGGAUCCGCGCUGCAUUAGCUAGUUGGUAAGGUAACGGCUUACCAAGGCAACGAUGCAUAGCCGACCUGAGAGGGUGAUCGGCCACACUGGAACUGAGACACGGUCCAGACUCCUACGGGAGGCAGCAGUAGGGAAUCUUCCGCAAUGGGCGAAAGCCUGACGGAGCAACGCCGCGUGAGUGAUGAAGGUCUUCGGAUCGUAAAACUCUGUUAUUAGGGAAGAACAUAUGUGUAAGUAACUGUGCACAUCUUGACGGUACCUAAUCAGAAAGCCACGGCUAACUACGUGCCAGCAGCCGCGGUAAUACGUAGGUGGCAAGCGUUAUCCGGAAUUAUUGGGCGUAAAGCGCGCGUAGGCGGUUUUUUAAGUCUGAUGUGAAAGCCCACGGCUCAACCGUGGAGGGUCAUUGGAAACUGGAAAACUUGAGUGCAGAAGAGGAAAGUGGAAUUCCAUGUGUAGCGGUGAAAUGCGCAGAGAUAUGGAGGAACACCAGUGGCGAAGGCGACUUUCUGGUCUGUAACUGACGCUGAUGUGCGAAAGCGUGGGGAUCAAACAGGAUUAGAUACCCUGGUAGUCCACGCCGUAAACGAUGAGUGCUAAGUGUCAGGGGGUUUCCGCCCCUUAGUGCUGCAGCUAACGCAUUAAGCACUCCGCCUGGGGAGUACGACCGCAAGGUUGAAACUCAAAGGAAUUGACGGGGACCCGCACAAGCGGUGGAGCAUGUGGUUUAAUUCGAAGCAACGCGAAGAACCUUACCAAAUCUUGACAUCCUUUGACAACUCUAGAGAUAGAGCCUUCCCCUUCGGGGGACAAAGUGACAGGUGGUGCAUGGUUGUCGUCAGCUCGUGUCGUGAGAUGUUGGGUUAAGUCCCGCAACGAGCGCAACCCUUAAGCUUAGUUGCCAUCAUUAAGUUGGGCACUCUAAGUUGACUGCCGGUGACAAACCGGAGGAAGGUGGGGAUGACGUCAAAUCAUCAUGCCCCUUAUGAUUUGGGCUACACACGUGCUACAAUGGACAAUACAAAGGGCAGCGAAACCGCGAGGUCAAGCAAAUCCCAUAAAGUUGUUCUCAGUUCGGAUUGUAGUCUGCAACUCGACUACAUGAAGCUGGAAUCGCUAGUAAUCGUAGAUCAGCAUGCUACGGUGAAUACGUUCCCGGGUCU